rnacentral:tRNA from 1 species
UGUGGCUUAGUGGUAGAGUGCUUGCCUAGCAUGCAUGAAGUCCUGGGUUCAAUUCCCCAGCA